AAAGAAUUUGGUUCUGGUUUUUAUAAUUAAGUUUUAAAAAGAAUUAUACAUGUUAGUUAAUAAGCGUUCCGGUGAGGAUCCGAGAGAACUAAAGAAUUGUUUUAAUAAAAUUCUUUUUAUGAAGCGGAAGAGUGACCAUUAUUAUAAUAAAGGUAAUAGGGCCAUUAAGUAUCAUCACAUCUACAGUAAUAAAUAUUUAACCCUGCCUGUAAAGGCGAUUAAAUUGUAUAUAAAAAACUGGCGAAGAUACCGUGCCAGCAGCCGCGGUUAAACGGACGGUUUUCUUAAUAUAAUAAGUAGCUUAAGACAGAAAACCUUAAUAAAAAAAUAACAAGUUUCAAAGAUUUAAUGUGGUAAUUAAUUUUGUAACGAAUUUUUUGUAAAAAAGGAGAAACUGUUAAGAUUAGGAGGAAAACCGGGUUUUGAUAUCCCGUUAUCCCUAAAAUAAAAAGUUAAUGCUGGUGGAGUACGAAGGAAAUCUUUGAGAAACAAAGAACUUGGCGGUGAUUUAAUUCUGAUCAGGGGAGCUUGUCUGAAUAAAAUGAUAAUCCACAUUAUACCUAACCUCUUCUUGAAAAUCAGCCUCUAUAUCAUCGUCAUUAAGUUUUCACUAUAAAUUAUGAAGGCAAAAUUACUAAAUAAGUCAUAUGUCAGAUCGAGAUGGAGCUAAUGAAGAGGGGAAGAUGGGCUACAAUAUCUCUCAAUAAAUAAUUUUAAUGAAAAAUUGGAUGCUUUUAUGAAAUCAAAAGGCUAAAAAAGGACUUGAUAGUAAUGUUAAUAAGAGAAAAGUUACAUGAAAUAAGCUCUAAAUUGCGUACACAUCGCCCGUCACCUGCGGGGUAAAACCUGGAGUAAGUCGUAACAAAGUAGGCGUACCGGAAGGUGCGGCCUGGUCAAUU
rnacentral:rRNA from 1 species